rnacentral:misc_RNA from 1 species
AGGAAUGUAGACUAUAUCGACGGAUUCGGACGCACCGCUCUCCACUGGGCUUCGGAAUAUGGAUACGUGAAUAUUGUGUACUUAUUGGUGGAAAACAAGUGGGACUAUAACGCAACAGACAACAAAUCUCAGACUCCGUUACACAUUGCUUGUAAUCAUUAUGGCAGUGAUAUUGCGUCAUACUUAAUCACGUGUGGAUGUGACGUCAACAUUUUGGACAAUUCUGGCAACAGUCCUUUGCAAAGAGCCAUUCACACAAACUUGGAAGGCGUAGUGUAUCUUAUAUGUGAGCGUGGAGCUGACAUCAAUUCAAAAACAAAAAAUGACUGGACUGCUCUUCACGAAGCAAUACGGGUCGGGAACGAGAAUAUAGUUCGACGACUACUCAAAGAUGGAGCUGACGUCAAUGCCAUUACUCAGUACAAAGCAACGCCAUUUUCAACAGCCAUUUUUUACUUCCGGAUCUCGCAGAGACAUGCGUAUAAUUGUCUAGACUCUAUAGCCAAAAUGUUGGUGGAUAACGGAAGUCGACUGAGCCAGUGUGACGGACAGUACUCUCCCCUGAUGUCGUGUAUAUCUCUUGGAAACAGUUUCAUUGCUGGACUGCUGUUGUAUCAUGGCUGCCAAAUUCCAACUCUGGAUCAGUUCGCCGGACGAAGUCCACUCGUGGACGCUUUUACGAGAUGCGAUCCAAAUGUGGUCAAACUGAUGGUCCUUAGUGGUUACCACUUGACCAUCGACGAAGUGGAACAGUGCAAUAGACGUAUUCCAACCUUCUCCAGGUCUUUCAGACGUUUAGCUUUCUCAGGGAUUGAUACCUCAACGAAUGGACUCCAGAUGAUGGCGUGGUUAAAGGAGCGGUCCCACAACCCAGCCUCGCUUUCAGAUAUCUGCCGGUUCAGUAUUCGGCAGUCGCUUAAUAAAGGGUCAGGGGAUACCUCAAUUUUGUCAAAUAUCAGAAAGCUCAUCCUUCCAACGUGUUUGAAAGAGUACAUAGCUUUAGACGAAUUCAGCCACCUUGGUUAAAUGCAGAGAGUGGAUGUAUUUAUGUGUACAAGAGAGUGAUUUAUGAAUACUUGAAUGGAUACUCAUGUCCGUUUUAGUGCAUGGGUGUACGGGCAAAAUACCAAGUUUCCGAACUAUAGAGGGAACUUAAAAAUGAAGCGCUUUAGUAUGUGUGUUUGUACUGUAUUUUAUUUGCCAUGCAAAUCUUGUUCAAUGAACAUGUUUUGUUUUUGUUUAGUCUCUAUAACAACGCCCCCUUCUAUUCAGUGUUCAUUUCCAAUAUUCUUUUGUUAUCUCUUCUACGGGGAUCUUUGCUAGAAAUUCAGAGAAAUCCAACAAUCAAUUAAGACAACCUUGAAGACUUACACCCGGCGAGGUGUCAAAACGCAUGCCUUUAUAUUACUAGGUUCUAUCGCAAAAUGUUGUUUUAUUUAUAUAUGAUUUUUUAUUUUUAGAAUAAAGAUGAGGAAAGUUAUUUAU